GGCGGACGGGUGAGUAAUGCUUGGGAAUAUGCCUUAUGGUGGGGGACAACAGUUGGAAACGACUGCUAAUACCGCAUGAUGUCUACGGACCAAAGUGGGGGACCUUCGGGCCUCACGCCAUAAGAUUAGCCCAAGUGGGAUUAGCUAGUUGGUGAGGUAAUGGCUCACCAAGGCGACGGUCCCUAGCUGGUUUGAGAGGAUGAUCAGCCACACUGGGACUGAGACACGGCCCAGACUCCUACGGGAGGCAGCAGUGGGGAAUAUUGCACAAUGGGCGCAAGCCUGAUGCAGCCAUGCCGCGUGUGUGAAGAAGGCCUUCGGGUUGUAAAGCACUUUCAGUAAGGAGGAAAGGUUAGGUGUUAAUAGCACUUAGCUGUGACGUUACUUACAGAAGAAGCACCGGCUAACUCCGUGCCAGCAGCCGCGGUAAUACGGAGGGUGCGAGCGUUAAUCGGAAUUACUGGGCGUAAAGCGUAC
rnacentral:rRNA from 1 species